rnacentral:rRNA from 1 species
UACGGGGGGGGCAAGCGUUGUUCGGAAUUACUGGGCGUAAAGGGCUCGUAGGCGGCCAACUAAGUCAGACGUGAAAUCCCCAGGCUUAACCUGGGAACUGCGUCUGAUACUGGAUGGCUUGAAUCCGGGAGAGGGAUGCAGAAUUCCAGGUGUAGCGGUGAAAUGCGUAGAUAUCAAGAGGAACACCUGAGGUGAAGACGGGUUGCUGGGCUGACACUGACGCUGAGGCGCGAAAGCCAGGGGAGCAAACGGG